CUCCCCCCCUCUUGCACUCGGCAGCCAUAAUCCCUCUUAAACCCUUCUUUUUGAUCCACCAAAAUCACCAUUUUAACCCCAAAAAUCUCACUUCAAGAUCAUCUAUGGAAGGUAUAAGUAUGGAGCAUCCUUAGAGCUUGGUUUGGAGCUUAAUCAUCUUCUUAAUCAUCCUAUAAUCUUUUGCAAAAUUGUUGACUCACGCUUACGGAACACGGUUGCUAGAGCUUAUUGCUGGACGCAAUACAGAAACUAAUGGAACUUGGGUGCUGGUGUUUAUUAUGAAGCUUUUGGAUUACAAGUCAUCGAUGUCAUCCCUUUUGGAGGGUUUGGUCCAUAUAUCUCAUCUUCAAUGAGAUAUAGGAUGCAAAGCCUUAUGUUUUAAACUUAUGUUGAACUCGUCUUUUGUAAAACUUAUAACUAUGUCGUUUGGCAUUUUAAACAAACUUAUGAUGUGUAAUAUUUUACUAUG